rnacentral:rRNA from 1 species
GCAUAUCAAUAAGCGGAGGAAAAGAAAAUAACAAUGAUUCCCUAGUAACGGCGAGUGAAGAGGAAAGAGCUCAAAGUUGGAACCUGUUUGGCCUAGCUAAACCGGAUUGUAGACUGUAGAAGUGUUUUCCAGGCAAGCCGAGUAAAUAAGUCCUUUGGAACAGGGCAUCAUAGAGGGUGAGAAUCCCGUCUUUGGCUUGAGCAUUUGCCUUUUGUGAUACGCUUUCAAAGAGUCAGGUUGUUUGGGAAUGCAGCCUAAAUUGGGUGGUAAAUCUCACCUAAAGCUAAAUAUUGGCGAGAAACCGAUAGCGAACAAGUACCGUGAGGGAAAGAUGAAAAGAACUUUGAAAAGAGAGUUAAACAGUAUGUGAAAUUGUUAAAAGGGAACCGUUUGGAGCCAGACUGGCUUGUCUGUAAUCAAUCUAGGCUUCGGCCUGGAUGCACUUGCAGGCUAUGCCUGCCAACGACAAUUUGACUUGAGGGAAAAAACUAGGGGAAAUGUGGCCCACUUGUGGGUGUUAUAGUCCCUUAGAAAAUACCUUGGGUUGGAUUGAGGAACGCAGCGAAUGCUUUUUGGCGAGUUUUCCAGGAAGGUUUUCUGAGGUACUACGGUAUCAAGGUUGAUCUUUUUGGUUAUACUUCUAUUCGCUUAGGUUGUUGGCUUAAUGACUCUAAAUGACCCGUCUUGAAACACGGACCAAGGAGUCCACCAUUAGUGCGAGUAUUUGGGUGCCAAACCCAUAUGCGUAAGGAAACUGAUUGAUACGAAUCCAUUAAGGAGGCAGUAUCGUCCGGCGCUGACGUUUUAUACUGAAUUGACCGAGACAAAGCACUAAUGAUGGGACCCGAAAGAUGGUGAACUAUGCCUGAAUAGGGUGAAGCCAGAGGAAACUCUGGUGGAGGCUCGUAGCGAUUCUGACGUGCAAAUCGAUCGUCAAAUUUGGGUAUAGGGGCGAAAGACUAAUCGAACCAUCUAGUAGCUGGUUCCUGCCGAG